AGUGAACGCUGGCGGUAGGCCUAACACAUGCAAGUCGAACGGCAGCACAGUAAGAGCUUGCUCUUACGGGUGGCGAGUGGCGGACGGGUGAGGAAUACAUCGGAAUCUACUUUUUCGUGGGGGAUAACGUAGGGAAACUUACGCUAAUACCGCAUACGACCUACGGGUGAAAGCAUGGGAUCUUCGGACCUUGCGCGAUUGAAUGAGCCGAUGUCGGAUUAGCUAGUUGGCAGGGUAAAGGCCCACCAAGGCGACGAUCCGUAGCUGGUCUGAGAGGAUGAUCUGCCACACUGGAACUGAGACACGGUCCAGACUCCUACGGGAGGCAGCAGUGGGGAAUAUUGGACAAUGGGCGCAAGCCUGAUCCAGCCAUACCGCGUGGGUGAAGAAGGCCUUCGGGUUGUAAAGCCCUUUUGUUGGGAAAGAAAAGCAGCAGGUUAAUACCCCGCUGUUCUGACGGUACCAAAAGAAUAAGCACCGGCUAACUUCGUG
rnacentral:rRNA from 1 species